rnacentral:rRNA from 1 species
AUUGAACGCUGGCGGCAUGCCUUACACAUGCAAGUCGAACGGCAGCACGGGUGCUUGCACCUGGUGGCGAGUGGCGAACGGGUGAGUAAUACAUCGGAACAUGUCCUGUAGUGGGGGAUAGCCCGGCGAAAGCCGGAUUAAUACCGCAUACGAUCUACGGAUGAAAGCGGGGGACCUUCGGGCCUCGCGCUAUAGGGUUGGCCGAUGGCUGAUUAGCUAGUUGGUGGGGUAAAGGCCUACCAAGGCGACGAUCAGUGGCUGGUCUGAGAGGACGACCAGCCACACUGGGACUGAGACACGGCCCAGACUCCUACGGGAGGCAGCAGUGGGGAAUUUUGGACAAUGGGCGAAAGCCUGAUCCAGCAAUGCCGCGUGUGUGAAGAAGGCCUUCGGGUUGUAAAGCACUUUUGUCCGGAAAGAAAUCCUUGGCCCUAAUACGGUCGGGGGAUGACGGUACCGGAAGAAUAAGCACCGGCUAACUACGU